GACAUCCAACCAACCAGAAAAGCAAACUCAGAGGCGUUCCCCACGAAUCCGGCGAGCAAGCUGCAUAUCCUUGGGCAUGAUCGUAACCCUCUUCCCAUGAAUAGCACAAAGGUUGGUGUCCUCGAACAAACCAACCAGGUAUGCCUCUGCCGCCUCCUGCAGGGCCGACACUGCCGAACUCUGGAAACGGAGGUCGGUCUUGAAGUCCUGAGCAAUCUCCCUCACCAGGCGCUGGAAGGGCAGCUUGCGGAUGAGCAGCUCCGUGCUCUUCUGGUACUUG
rnacentral:misc_RNA from 1 species